AUAAGAAAUAGGAAUAUGUGUAAGAAUAUUCUUCGAUUAUAUUGUAGAAGUUGUCUAUAAAAUAUUUUGUCUCAAUUUUCAUGUCUUUUGAACUUUGACAAUUUAAUUCAAUCAUUUUUCUUUUGAUAUACAAUCUAAGAGAUUGAGGAUAUUCUGAAUAAUGGCUAGUAAUGAAUGCCCAAAAAGAUAAGUUCAACAGAUAAAGCAGGACUUAUUAAAUUGUUUGGUUUCAAGUAAAUGGGUAAAUAAUGAAAUCGUAGACGUGAAUGAUGAAUUCAAUAUGAUUUCAAAAACACUUAUUAAUACAAUUUCAAAAAUGUGAUGUAUACACGGUAAAUAAAAAAUAUCACACCCCAACAUUUGCUACAAUAAUAUGCAGUUAAACCCCAUUUUUGAAUUGCUACAAAGAUAGCUGCUGCUUGACCUUCCCCGAACCAGAAGAAAUUUCAGGCACAUCAAAUGUAUUGAGACUAAAUGAUUCUGCAGUUGCUAUUAAUAUAAGAACAGCGUCUCUGUCGCUAAUUUUGCACUCAUCAAAUGCAGUGACCAGUUUAUCAGUUA